rnacentral:sRNA from 1 species
CAUUAGCCCCCGAUUGGGAACGGCAUCCUUUUUUGUCUUUGUUGAAAAUUUUCUUUUGAAGACAAAAUGUCUGAGACAAAAAAGAUAUAGUGGACAGCGGGAUUAAGC